CCUACGGGGGGCAGCAGUGGGGAAUAUUGGGCAAUGGGCGCAAGCCUGACCCAGCAAUGCCGCGUGAAGGAAGAAGGCCCUCGGGUUGUAAACUUCUUUUAUCAGGGACGAAGGAUGUGACGGUACCUGAUGAAUAAGCUCCGGCUAACUACGUGCCAGCAGCCGCGGUAAUACGUAGGGAGCAAGCGUUAUCCGGAUUUACUGGGUGUAAAGGGCGCGUAGGCGGGAUGGCAAGUCAGAUGUGAAAUCCAGGGGCUCAACCCCUGAACUGCAUUUGAAACUGUCGUUCUUGAGUACUGGAGAGG
rnacentral:rRNA from 1 species